UCUAUUAGGGAUAAAGUAAAUGUAUAGUUUACGAUGUAAAUCUCAUUUUACAGGUUACAGGUUGGUUUCUGUUGGAAAUUCAAGUGUGAAAAGUCGCAUCUACUAUAUAUCUAAGAAAAUGUUAGGAUAAUGAAGUUACUGAAGUAGACAUUCUCCUUCAUUGACAUGUGUGCUAGAGUAAUGGUAUUUUGGUCAUUUUCCUGUUGUAGUGUUUUUGGCGGUGCAGUGUGUUAAAUGGUCUGAUAGACAUUUGUUGUUAGAUUUCAAAGUCCUUCUUCUCCAAGCCAAGUUAGCUACGUCCUUCUUCUCCAGAUGGCAAAAAAAUUUGAUAUGAUCAAGGAUAUUGAUGGAAGAAGGGAAACGUUGAAACUUGUUGUUAGAAUUGUAGAUUUGUGGUAUGUUGAGUCAUGGGAUUCCAAACGAAGUAUGGAACUGGUUCUGAUGGAUCAAAAGGGUGAUCUUAUUGGUGCAAUGAUUAAGAAGGAAGAUAUGGGUGUUUGGGAAGACAAGCUAAAAGAGGGUGAAACUUACAUAAUGCAUAAAUUUAAACUGUUGAAGAACAGAGCUCAAUAUAGAGUUUGUGAACAUCCAUUUAAGUUGUUGUUUAUAGGAGCAACGUCUAUACGACCACAACCCAUUGCAAGCAUACCUAGAAAGCUUUGGAAGUUCAAAAGUAUAAAGGAUAUCAUUGAUGGAAAGUAUUGUGCUGAUUUAUUGAUGUGAUUGGUGUGCUGGACAAUGUAGAGGAGAAAGGCCAUUCGAAAAAUGUUGUGUUUGACCUGAAAGAUUUCAGUGAUGCUAUAAUAUGUUGCACAUUGUGGGAUUCAUAUUGUGAGAAAUUAUUGAGUUAUUGGCGGACACGUAGUCAAACAUCUAAUCUUGCUAUUAUUCUUACUCAGGCCAAGAUAAAGCCUGCAUCAGGUAUGAAUAACGUCAUUACUAUAUUUAGAUUAUCAUUAUUAUUUAAUCUAAUUUAAUUAGUUUUUAUAGGUCCAUAGCCAGUGUCACUGUUAAUAUUAUGAGAGUUUCUACUGACGUGGAAAUUAUUGAUCACGUUAAAGCACUACUUAGACAAGAGGAGGCAAGCCAAGUUGGUGAAUGUAUGGAUAGUUGUCCAUCUGAUAUAGUUCCUGAUAUUUGCAAUUCCUCCAUCUUAAUGACAACAAUGAUAGUUUGUGUUUUUAAAUUCUAAUUGCAAAUGAAUUAUGCAGGCAAUGGUUAUUGGUAAAUGUAGCAAUGUCAGUGUUUCUGAUGUACCAACUUCUAGCGGGACUUCUUUAAUGUGCCUUUCUUCCAUCGUUGAUGAUGAACCUGAUAUAAUUUUAUGUAUGACACCUACUAAAGAUGUUUGUGCUCCCAUUGAUGAUGUUCCAAACAUUCCAUCAAGUAUCAUGGAGUUUGAUUUUCUGGAGGACAUUCCUCUAGCUCAAUUAUCAGCUACAAAGACUACAAAGUCAAUCAAGAGUAUCAAAAAGGAGAAAUUAUAAAUGUAUUAAUGUGGCCAGGAAAAGUCUGUUAAAAUGUUUUUGCAAACCUUUUUAUCUUUGUGAACCAUGUUGUAAUUUCUAUCGUAACUCAUUCCCGGUCCAUUUUUGAUGAAUUCUAAUUAUGAAUUUUGUGAAUCACCUUUAAUAGU